rnacentral:rRNA from 1 species
AUUGAACGCUGGCGGCAGGCCUAACACAUGCAAGUCGAACGGUAACAGGAAGCAGCUUGCUGCUUCGCUGACGAGUGGCGGACGGGUGAGUAAUGUCUGGGAAACUGCCUGAUGGAGGGGGAUAACUACUGGAAACGGUAGCUAAUACCGCAUAACGUCGCAAGACCAAAGAGGGGGACCUUAGGGCCUCUUGCCAUCGGAUGUGCCCAGAUGGGAUUAGCUAGUAGGUGGGGUAACGGCUCACCUAGGCGACGAUCCCUAGCUGGUCUGAGAGGAUGACAGGCCAAAAUGGAACUGAGACAGGGUCCAAGCCCCUGCGGGGGGCAGGAGUGGGGAAUUUUGCAAAAGGGGGGGAAGCCUGAUGCAGCCAUGCCGGGGGUAUGAAGAAGGCCUUGGGGUUUUAAAGUACUUUAGGCGGGGAGGAAGGGAGAAAAGUUAAUACCUUUUCUCAUUGACGUUACCCGAAGAAGAAGCACCGGCUAACUCCGU